rnacentral:rRNA from 1 species
GAUUCACUGGGCGUAAAGGGUGCGCAGGUGGCAUGGUAAGUUUGAUGUGAAAGCUCAGGGCUCAACCCUGAAAUGGCAUUGAAUACUACCGUGCUGGAGGUUUGGAGGGGGGACUGGAAUUCUUGGUGUAGCAGUGAAAUGCGUAGAUAUCAAGAGGAACACCAGUGGCGAAGGCGAGUCCCUGGACAACACCUGACACUGAGGCACGAAAGCCAGGGGAGCAAACGGGAUUAGAUACCCCGGUAGUCCUGGCCCUAAACGGUGCGUGUUUGCUGUAGGAGGAAUCGACCCCUUCUGUGGCGAAGCUAACGCGUUAAACACGCCGCCUGGGGAGUACGGUCGCAAGAUUAAAACUCAAAGAAAUUGACGGGGGCCUGCACAAGCGGUGGAGUAUGUGGCUUAAUUCGAUGCAACGCGAAGAACCUUACCUGGCCUUGACAUGCAUGUGGUAGAACCAUGAAAGUGGGACGACCCCGCAAGGGGAGCUUGCACAGGUGCUGCAUGGC